rnacentral:rRNA from 1 species
GGUAACAUUUCUAGCUUGCUAGAAGAUGACGAGUGGCGGACGGGUGAGUAAUGCUUGGGAACUUGCCUUUGCGAGGGGGAUAACAGUUGGAAACGACUGCUAAUACCGCAUAAUGUCUUCGGACCAAACGGGGCUUCGGCUCCGGCGCAAAGAGAGGCCCAAGUGAGAUUAGCUAGUUGGUAAGGUAACGGCUUACCAAGGCGACGAUCUCUAGCUGUUCUGAGAGGAAGAUCAGCCACACUGGGACUGAGACACGGCCCAGACUCCUACGGGAGGCAGCAGUGGGGAAUAUUGCACAAUGGGGGAAACCCUGAUGCAGCCAUGCCGCGUGUGUGAAGAAGGCCUUCGGGUUGUAAAGCACUUUCAGUUGUGAGGAAAAGUUAGUAGUUAAUACCUGCUAGCCGUGACGUUAACAACAGAAGAAGCACCGGCUAACUCCGUGCCAGCAGCCGCGGUAAUACGGAGGGUGCGAGCGUUAAUCGGAAUUACUGGGCGUAAAGCGCACGCAGGCGGUUUGUUAAGCUAGAUGUGAAAGCCCCGGGCUCAACCUGGGAUGGUCAUUUAGAACUGGCAGACUAGAGUCUUGGAGAGGGGAGUGGAAUUCCAGGUGUAGCGGUGAAAUGCGUAGAUAUCUGGAGGAACAUCAGUGGCGAAGGCGACUCCCUGGCCCAAAGGACUGACGCUCAUGUGCGAAAGUGUGGGUAGCGAAACAGGAUUAGAUACCC